rnacentral:rRNA from 1 species
CGUGUAGGCGGGGAUGUAAGUCAGAUGUGAAAUUCCAUGGCUCAACUGUGGGGCUGCAUCUGAAACUAUAUCUCUUGAGUGCUGGAGAGGAAAGCGGAAUUCCUAGUGUAGCGGUGAAAUGCGUAGAUAUUAGGAGGAACACCAGUGGCGAAGGCGGCUUUCUGGACAGUAACUGACGCUGAGGCGCGAAAGCGUGGGGAGCAAACAGGAUUAGAUACCCUGGUAGUCCACGCUGUAAACGAUGGAUACUAGGUGUAGGAGGUAUCGACCCCUUCUGUGCCGGAGUUAACACAAUAAGUAUCCCACCUGGGGAGUACGGCCGCAAGGUUGAA